rnacentral:rRNA from 1 species
UGGGGAAUUUUGCGCAAUGGGCUAACGCCUGACGCAGCAACGCCGCGUGGAGGAUGAAGGUCCUUGGAUUGUAAACUCCUGUCAGCAGGGAAAAAGCAACCUGACCUCAUACGUCAGGAAGUUGAUUGUACCUGCAGAGGAAGCCCCGGCUAACUCUGUGCCAGCAGCCGCGGUAAUACAGAGGGGGCAAGCGUUAUUCGGAAUUAUUGGGCGUAAAGGGCGCGUAGGCGGCCUGGCAAGUGGAUGGUGAAAUCCCUCGGCUUAACCGAGGAACUGCCAUCCAGACUGCUUGGCUUGAGACCGGGAGAGGUGAGUGGAAUUCCCAGUGUAGCGGUGAAAUGCGUAGAUAUUGGGAGGAACACCAGUGGCGAAGGCGGCUCACUGGACCGGUACUGACGCUGAUGCGCGAAAGCGUGGGGAGCAAACGG